CGGAGGAGGAGGAGGAGGAGGAGGAGGAGCGUCUAAACGAGGAGCGAUUAGAAGCUAGACGCUUCGGCCUAUGGUUUCAAGAGCUGAUGGAGUGUGAUUCAGGGUACUCGUCAGCUGACUCGUCAGCUAUCUCGUUAUAGGCGUACCGCGAUUAGUACGAGAUAUACAAACGGGCGGGGGAAGAACACGCAAUACACAGGGGAACGAGGC